rnacentral:rRNA from 1 species
GCUCCAAUAGCGUAUAUUUAAGUUGUUGCAGUUAAAAAGCUCGUAGUUGGACCUUGGGAUGGGCCGGCCGGUCCGCCUCUGGGUGUGCACCGGUCGUCUCGUCCUUCUGCCGGCGAUUCGUGCCUUGCCUUAACUGGCCGGGCCGCACCACCGGCGCUGUUACUUUGAAGAAAUUAGAGUGCUCAAAGCAAGCCUACGCU